rnacentral:rRNA from 1 species
CCUGGUAGCGGGGGAUAACUAAUUGGAAACGAAUAGCUAAUACCGCAUAAUAUUGAUUAUUUGCAUGAUAAUUGAUUGAAAGAUGCUAUUGCAUCACUACCAGAUGGACCUGCGUUGUAUUAGCUAGUAGGUGAGGUAACGGCUCACCUAGGCGACGAUACAUAGCCGACCUGAGAGGGUGAUCGGCCACACUGGGACUGAGACACGGCCCAG